CUGGCGGCCGUGCCUAAUACAUGCAAGUCAACGGUCUUUUCUAUGGAAGCUUUGCUUCCGCUGAGAAGAUAGUGGCGAACGGGUGAGUAACACGUGGGUAACCUGCCCAUAAGAGGGGGAUAACAUCCGGAAACGGGUGCUAAUACCGCAUAGUUUCUUGAUCGCAUGAUCGGGAAGGAAGACGGCCUUUGUGCUGUCGCUUAUGGAUGGACCCGCGGCGUAUUAGUUAGUUGGUGAGGUAACGGCUCACCAAGACGAUGAUACCGUAGCCGACCUGAGAGGGUGAUCGGCCACAUUGGGACUGAGACACGGCCCAGACUCCUACGGGAGGCAGCAGUGGGGAAUAUUGCGCAAUGGGCGAAAGCCUGACGCAGCCAUGCCGCGUGUGUGAAGAAGGCCUUAGGGUUGUAAAGCACUUUCAAUUGGGAAGAAAAGUUGGUCGUUAAUAGGCGGCCAGCCCUGACAUUACCUUUAGAAGAAGGACCGGCUAACUACGUG
rnacentral:rRNA from 1 species